rnacentral:rRNA from 1 species
AUUGAACGCUGGCGGCAGGCCUAACACAUGCAAGUCGAACGAGUGGCGGACGGGUGAGUAAUGUCUGGGAAACUGCCUGAUGGAGGGGGAUAACUACUUGAAACGGUCGCUAAUACCGCAUACCAUCAGAUGUGCCCAGAUGGGAUUAGCUUGUUGGUGGGGUAACGGCUCACAAAGGCGACGAUCCCUAGCGGGUCUGAGAGGAUGACCAGCAACAUGGGAAGUGAACAACGGUCCAGACUCCUAGGGGGGGCAGCAGGGGGGAAUAUUACACAAUGGGCGAAAGCCGGAUGCGGCAAGGCCGCGGGGAUGAAGAGGGCCUUGGGGUUGUAAAGUACUUUCAGCGGGGAGGCGGUACCCGCAGAAGAAGCACCGGCUAACUCCGUGCCAGCAGCCGCGGUAAUAC